GACGAACGCUGGCGGCGUGCCUAAUACAUGCAAGUCGAACGAACCGCGACUAAGUGCUUGCACUAAGUCAAGGUGAGUGGCGAACGGGUGAGUAACACGUGGGUAACCUACCUCAUAGUGGGGGAUAACAGUCGGAAACGACUGCUAAUACCGCAUAGGACAUAGGAUCACAUGAUCCAGUGAGGAAAGGUGGCGCAAGCUAUCGCUAAGAGAUGGACCCGCGGUGCAUUAGCUAGUUGGUAGGGUAAAGGCCUACCAAGGCGAUGAUGCAUAGCCGACCUGAGAGGGUGAUCGGCCACAUUGGGACUGAGACACGGCCCAAACUCCUACGGGAGGCAGCAGUAGGGAAUCUUCCGCAAUGGACGCAAGUCUGACGGAGCAACGCCGCGUGAGUGAAGAAGGUCUUCGGAUCGUAAAGCUCUGUUGUUAGAGAAGAACAGCGCAUAGAGUAACUGUAUGCGUGGACGGAU
rnacentral:rRNA from 1 species